rnacentral:tRNA from 1 species
GACAGUGUGGUGUAGUGGUUUGAUCACUGGACUACAACUCUGGUGACCAGGGUUCAAAUCCUGACUCAGCCA